UCCUACGGGAGGCAGCAGUGGGGAAUUUUGGACAAUGGGGGCAACCCUGAUCCAGCAAUGCCGCGUGAGUGAAGAAGGCCUUCGGGUUGUAAAGCUCUUUUGUCAGGGAAGAAACGGUCCGGGCUAAUAUCCUGGGCUAAUGACGGUACCUGAAGAAUAAGCACCGGCUAACUACGUGCCAGCAGCCGCGGUAAUACGUAGGGUGCAAGCGUUAAUCGGAAUUACUGGGCGUAAAGCGUGCGCAGGCGGUUGUGCAAGACAGAUGUGAAAUCCCCGGGCUUAACCUGGGAAUUGCAUUUGUGACUGCACGGCUAGAGUGUGUCAGAGGGGGGUAGAAUUCCACGUGUAGCAGUGAAAUGCGUAGAGAUGUGGAGGAAUACCGAUGGCGAAGGCAGCCCCCUGGGAUAACACUGACGCUCAUGCACGAAAGCGUGGGGAGCAAACAGGAUUAGAUACCCUGGUAGUCCACGCCCUAAACGAUGUCAACUAGUUGUCGGGUCUUAAUUGACUUGGUAACGCAGUAACGCGU
rnacentral:rRNA from 1 species